GUGGGGAAUCUUGCGCAAUGGGGGAAACCCUGACGCAGCGACGCCGCGUGAGUGAUGAAGGCCUUCGGGUCGUAAAGCUCUGUUGCAGGGGAAUAAAAAAAUGAAGGUACCCUGUGAGGAAGGAUCGGCUAACUUCGUGCCAGCAGCCGCGGUAAGACGAGGGAUCCUAGCGUUGCUCGGAAUCAUUGGGCGUAAAGAGGGCGUAGGUGGCUUGGUAAGUCAGGUGUGAAAGCCCAGGGCUCAACCCUGGAAGUGCAUUUGAUACUGCUGAGCUUGAGUGUCGGAGAGGUUACCGGAAUACCUGGUGUAGUGGUGAAAUACGUAGAUAUCAGGUGGAACACCGGAGGCGAAGGCGGGUAACUGGACGAACACUGACACUGAGGCCCGAAAGCGUGGGGAUCAAACAGGAUUAGAAACCCUAGUAGUCC
rnacentral:rRNA from 1 species